CUGGUUGAUCCUGCCGGAGGCUACUGCUAUUGGAGUCCGAUUAAGCCAUGCUAGUCUUCGAGGCUUUGCCUCGAGGCAAACAGCUGAGUAACACGUGGCCAACCUGCCCUACGGAGGAGGAUAACCUCGGGAAACUGAGGAUAAUACUCCAUAGGUCUGGAAUGCUGAAACGCGUCCAGAUUGAAAUGUAUUAUACGCCGUAGGAUGGGGCUGCGGCUGAUUAGGUUGUUGGUGAGGUAACGGCUCACCAAGCCGAUAAUCAGUAGCGGGCGUGAGAACGCGAGCCGCCAGACGGGUUCUGAGACAAGAACCCGGAUCCUACGGGAUGCAGCAGGCGCGAAACCUUCACAAUGCGCGAAAGCGUGAUGGGGGGACUCCAAGUGCUCGUUUCGAAAAAAGAAGCGAGCUUUUCCUGAGUGUAAGGAGCUCAAGAUAACAAGGGGUGGGCAAGACGGCUGCCAGCCGCCGCGGUAAUAGCCGCACCCCAAGUGGUAGCCAUGAUUAUUGGGCUUAAAGUGUUCGUAGCCGGCUUGAUCAGUCUUUUGUGAAAUCUGGCGGCUUAACCGUCAGGAGCGCAAGGGAUACUAUCAAGCUAGGGGCCGGACGGCGUCGAGGCUAUUCCCGGGGUAGGGGUGAAAUCCAAAAAUCCUGGGAAGAGCACCAAUGGCGAAAGCGCUCGGCGAGUACGGGCCCGACGGUGAGGGACGAAAGCCAGGGGAGCGAACGGGAUUAGAUACCCCAGUAGUCCUGGCCGUAAACGAUGCCCGCUUGAUGUCGGAAGUCCUUCGGGGACUUCCGGUGCCGAAGAGAAAUCGUUAAGCGGGCCGCCUGGGUAGUACGUCCGCAAGGAUGAAACUUAAAGGAAUUGACGGGGGAGCACCACAACCAGUGGAGGCUGCGGUUUAAUUAGAUCCAACGCAGGAAACCCUACCGGGGCCGACAGCACAAUGAGGGUCAGCCUGAAGGGCUUACCUGAGGAGCUGAGAGGUGUUGCAUGGCCGCCGUCAGCUCGUGCCGUGAGGUGUCCUCUUAAGUGAGGUAACGAGCGAGACCCGUGUCCUAUGUUGCUAUCCAUCUCUCCGGAGAUGGAGCACUCAUGGGAGACCGCUGGCGAUAAGCCAGGGGAAGGAACGGGCGACGGUAGGUCCGUAUGGCCCGAACGCCCCGGGAUACACGCGGCCUACAAUGGUCGGGACAAAGGGAUGCGACCCCGAAAGGGGAAGCUAAUCUCCGAAACCCGGCCUCAGUUCGGAUCGAGGGCUGUAACUCGCCCUCGUGAAGGCGAAAUUGGUAGUAGUCGCUGGUCAUUAUCUAGCGGCGAAUACGUCCCUGCUCCUUGUACACACCGCCCGU
rnacentral:rRNA from 1 species